rnacentral:rRNA from 1 species
ACUCCUACGGGAGGCAGCAGUGGGAAUAUUGCACAAUGGGGGAAAGCCCAUGAUGCAGCCAUGCCGCGUGUGUGAAGAAGGCCUUCGGGUUGUAAAGCACUUUUCAGUAGGGAGGAAGGUAGUGUAGUUAACACCUGCAUUUAUUUUGACGUUUACCUACAGAAGAAGCACCGGCUAACUCCGUGCCAGCAGCCGCGGUAAUACGGAGGGUGCGAGCGUUAAUCGGAAUUACUGGGCGUAAAGCGCAUGCAGGCGGCCUGUUAAGUCAGAUGUGAAAGCCCGGGGCUUAACCUCGGAAUUGCAUUUGAAACUGGCAGGCUAGAGUCUUGUAGAGGGGGGUAGAAUUUCAGGUGUAGCGGUGAAAUGCGUAGAGAUCUGAAGGAAUACCAGUGGCGAAGGCGGCCCCCUGGACAAAGACUGACGCUCAGAUGCGAAAGCGUGGGGAGCAAACAGGAUUAGAUACCCUGGUAGGCUCU